AUGUCUUGGCACCAGGAGCCGAUGAAUGACGUUGGAGCCUGCGAUAAUCCUCGGGGAGCCGGCAACCGGGCUGUGAUCCGAGGGUGUCCGAAUGGGGAAACCCGGCACCCGUCAUGGGGUGUCGUCCCUGCCUGAAUGCAUAGGGCAGCGGAUGGUAACGCGGGGAAGUGAAACAUCUCAGUACCCGCAGGAAGAGAAAGCAACAGCGAUUCCCUGAGUAGUGGUGAGCGGAAGGGGAUGAGGCUAAACCUCGUGCGCGUGAGAGCCGGCAGGCGUUGCGCUCGGGGGGUUGCGGGACCGUCUUGCCAGUGCUGCCGUGCUGGCGGGGAGUGAGAAAAUCGCGUGGCAGCCGAACGGCCUGGAAAGGCCGGCCGCAGGGGGUGACAGUCCCGUAGGCGACGCUGCGCGGUCUCCCUGGGCGUGUUCCCGAGUAGCACGGAGCCCGUGGAAUUCCGUGUGAAUCCGGGAGGACCACCUCCUAAGCCUGAAUACUCCCUGGUGACCGAUAGUGAACUAGUACCGUGAGGGAAAGGUGAAAAGUGCCCCGGUGAGGGGUCGUGAAAUAGUACCUGAAACCGUGUGCCUACAAGCCGCAGGAGCGUUGCCUCCCGUUCGCGGGGGGCGUGAGUGUGACUGCGUGCCUUUUGAAGAAUGAGCCUGCGAGUCACGGUGCGUGGCGAGGUUAACCCGUUGGGGGGCAGCCGUAGUGAAAGCGAGCCUGAACAGGGCGGAGAGUCGCGUGCCGUGGACCCGAAGCGGGGUGAUCUACGCAUGGGCAGGGUGAAGCGCGGGUAAGACCGCGUGGAGGCCCGGACCCACCAGGGUUGAAAACCUGGGGGAUGACCUGUGCGUAGGGGUGAAAGGCCAAUCAAACUCCGUGAUAGCUGGUUCUCCCCGAAAUGCAUUUAGGUGCAGCGUCGCGUGUUCCUUCCCGGAGGUAAAGCUACCGGUUGGCCUAGGGGGCCUGGCGGCUUACUGAAGUCAGCCGAACUCUGAAUGCCGGGAAGCUGAGCGCGGCAGUGAGACUGCGGGCGAUAAGGUUCGCGGUCGAGAGGGAAACAGCCCGGACCGCCGGCUAAGGCCCCUAAGCGCGUGCUAAGUGGGAAAGGAUGUGGAGUUGCAGUGACAACCAGGAGGUUGGCUUAGAAGCAGCCAUCCUUGAAAGAGUGCGUAAUAGCUCACUGGUCAAGUGAUUCCGCGCCGACAAUGUAGCGGGGCUCAAGCACGCCGCCGAAGCCGCGGCGCCUCGUCUCCUGCGGGGGGCGGGGCGGGUAGGGGAGCGUCGCGCGGGCGGUGAAGCGGCGGGGUGACCCGGCCGUGGAGCGCGCGCGAGCGAGAAUGCAGGCAUGAGUAGCGAACGGAACGUGGGAAACGUUCCCGCCGGAUGACCAAGGGUUCCUGGGGCAGGCUGAUCCGCCCAGGGUAAGUCAGGGCCUAAGGCGAGGCCGACAGGCGUAGUCGAUGGAUAACGGGUUGAUAUUCCCGUACCCGCGCGCGGCCGUCCAUGCUGAAUCAGUGAUGCUGAGCGCGGCGGCUUCCGGUGUCCUUCGGGAUGGCGGGGGGCGCGGCGCGGACCGAUCUGGUAGUAGGCAAGCCGAUGGAGGGACGCAGGAAGGUAGCUCUACCGGGCGGUGGUCGUCCCGGGGUAAGGGCGUAGGGUGCCGUGCAGGGAAAUCCGCGCGGCGUGUGCCCGAGACCUGAUGCCGAGCUGUCUUUGGCGAAGUGAGUGAUCCUAUGCUGCCGAGAAAAUCUUCGCGGCGAGGACGUGCGCGGCCUGUACCCGAAACCGACUCAGGUGGUCAGGUAGAGAAUACCGAGGCGAUCGGGCGAACCGCGGUUAAGGAACUAGGCAAAUUGUCCCCGUAACUUCGGGAGAAGGGGAGCCCCUGCCGGUGAAGGACUUCGCGUCCGGAGCCAGUGGGGGCCGCAGAGAAAUGGCCCAAGCGACUGUUUACUAAAAACACAGGUCCCUGCCAAAGCGAAAGCUGAUGUAUAGGGGCUGACGCCUGCCCGGUGCUGGAAGGUUAAGAGGAAGGGUGCAAGCUCUGAAUUGAAGCCCCAGUAAACGGCGGCCGUAACUAUAACGGUCCUAAGGAAGCGAAAUUCCUUGUCGGGUAAGUUCCGACCCGCACGAA
rnacentral:rRNA from 1 species